UACGAGUUUGAUCCUGGCUCAGAGCGAACGCUGGCGGCAGGCUUAACACAUGCAAGUCGAGCGGGCGUAGCAAUACGUCAGCGGCAGACGGGUGAGUAACGCGUGGGAACGUACCUUUUGGUUCGGAACAACACAGGGAAACUUGUGCUAAUACCGGAUAAGCCCUUACGGGGAAAGAUUUAUCGCCGAAAGAUCGGCCCGCGUCUGAUUAGCUAGUUGGUGAGGUAAUGGCUCACCAAGGCGACGAUCAGUAGCUGGUCUGAGAGGAUGAUCAGCCACAUUGGGACUGAGACACGGCCCAAACUCCUACGGGAGGCAGCAGUGGGGAAUAUUGGACAAUGGGGGCAACCCUGAUCCAGCCAUGCCGCGUGAGUGAUGAAGGCCCUAGGGUUGUAAAGCUCUUUUGUGCGGGAAGAUAAUGACGGUACCGCAAGAAUAAGCCCCGGCUAACUUCGUG
rnacentral:rRNA from 1 species